rnacentral:rRNA from 1 species
CGGAGGGUGCGAGCGUUGUCCGGAAUCAUUGGGCGUAAAGGGCGCGUAGGUGGCCCGGUCAGUCUUUGGUGAAAGCGCGGGGCUCAACCCUGCGUCGGCCAGGGAUACUGCCGCGGCUCGAGCACUGUAGAGGCAGGCGGAAUUCCGGGCGUAGCGGUGGAAUGCGUAGAGAUCCGGAAGAACACCGGUGGCGAAGGCGGCCUGCUGGGCAGUUUUGCUGACACUGAGGCGCGACAGCGUGGGGAGCAAACAAGAUUAGAUACCCUGGUAGUCCACGCCGUAAACGAUGGGCACUAGGCGCUUGGGGGAGCGACCCCCCGAGGGCCGCGCUAACGCAUUAAGUGCCCCGCCUGGGGAGUACGGCCGCAAGGCUG